rnacentral:rRNA from 1 species
CGGACGGGUGAGUAACGCGUGGGUAACCUGCCAUAUACAGGGGGAUAACACUUAGAAAUAGGUGCUAAUACCGCAUAAGCGCACAGGGGCGCAUGCCCCGGUGUGAAAAACUCCGGUGGUAUAUGAUGGACCCGCGUCUGAUUAGCCAGUUGGCAGGGUAACGGCCUACCAAAGCGACGAUCAGUAGCCGGCCUGAGAGGGCGGACGGCCACAUUGGACUGAGACACGGCCCAAACUCCUACGGAAGGCAGCAG